rnacentral:rRNA from 1 species
GUCUACAGCCACACCACCUUGAACACUCCCGAUAUCGUCUGAUCUCAGACGCUAAGUAGGGUCGAGCCUGGUUAGUACUUGGAUAUGAAAAUGAUCUUCAGAGGACACUGCCUAGAAA